GAUGAACAAAUCUAUCUUUUAUAGCCAGGGCAAAGGCAAAUUAGCUCUGGUACUUUCUCAGCUUUUGUGUAAGAACCUAGAUGGAUUUGACUGGCUACAAUGGCUCGAGUCUUGAUUUAGUGAUGACAAUGGCUUGAUCAAACUGUUAAUAAUGGUCUGUCGAGCGAUGGUGGCUCGCCGGCCGUGGCUGUUCCUAGAGUUGACAGAAGAGGAUUUGAACUUAGUGGAAGAGCCUUCAGACUUUACAAGAUGUGACCCUCUAUUACUAAUCUCAAGCCCCUCCAAUCGACCAAGGGAAUCCUGCUGCAACAGCUCUGAGAAGCCAUGAGAAUGUGCAGGCACGGUCGGAGAUUGCCC